rnacentral:tRNA from 2 species
GGCUACAUAGCUCAGCUGGUUAGAGCGCAGCAUUCAUAAUGCUGAUGUCCCAGGUUCAAGUCCCGGUGUAGCCACCA